rnacentral:rRNA from 1 species
UACAGAGACUGCAAGCGUUAUUCGGAUUCACUGGGCGUAAAGGGUGCGCAGGCGGUCGGGCGUGUCAGAUGUGAAAUCCCGAGGCUCAACCUCGGAACUGCGUCUGAAACUACUCGACUAGAGUACUGGAGAGGGUAACGGAAUUCACGGUGUAGCAGUGAAAUGCGUAGAUAUCGUGAGGAACACCAGAGGCGAAGGCGGUUACCUGGACAGUUACUGACGCUCAGGCACGAAAGCAUGGGGAGCGAACAGG